AAAAAUUUGGUUCGUACGUCGCCCAACCGUCGUCCCGCCGCAAAAAAGAUCACACGUCGCCGAACCAUCGUCCCGCCGCACGAACGUCGCCGAACCGUCGUCCGGCCGCAAAAGAACCCGCGCGCCGUCUGAUUAGGUCGCCCCGGCUGCCUGCGCGCUCUAUCAGGACGGCGAAGAUCAGGACUGCGGCGAUCAGGACGGCGGCGACAUCAUCCCCCGCGCCUCCUACGCGCUGCCGCUCCCCCGCCACCAACGCCGAGGCAGCCGGCACCUCCCUGUGCGUCACCAACGCGCGUUCCCGCCGCUGCCUCGCCUCUCGGUCCUCGCGCAGCAGCGCAUCCCCCGCAGCGGCGGUCGAACAGAGCGCCGCCGCCGGCGUUCCGCCAUUCGAUUCAUCACGAGUGGUGGCCGCCGCACCAAUCCAGCACCACUACGACGAUCCGCUCGACGAGGCGAAUCCGCUUUGCAGCUCCCCGUCGCCUGCCGUCCGCUGGAACGCCGCCGCCGCAAGCAGUCCCCUAACCGGCCGCCGUCGGCCGGAUUCCGGCCGUCCCUGUUCUUCUCCGCCGCUGGGUUCCUCGUUUGGGUCAUCGGGUGUUAAAUUACUUGGCCCAUGACACAUGUACUUUCUGAAAUGCCUCGUUUGGAUGAUCGGGUGUUAAAUUACUUGGCCCAUGACAUGAUUUUUCUUCCAAUAAAUAUUGAGAAUACACAUUGGUAUCUUGAUGUUAUCAACGCUCGGAAGUGCAAGGUGCAAGCGCUCGAUUCGUUGUGUAUACUCUUGGGACGCAAGGACCUCGAUGCUACAGUGAGUAUUACUUAACCAUAUAAUUAUGUGAUUAUUGCUGACCUAACGAUAAUGUUAUAUAAAUCUUUAUGCAUGAACAGUUGAGUGGUGUGGAUUUAAUAUUAUGCAAGUAUAAAUUAACAUGCGUAAAUCAAAUUUGUGUGAAUCUUAUCCUUUGUUUAUUGUUUACAUUGUAAUUGUUCAUGUGGCCUAUUCUUAAUGAAUUUUGCCGCGUAUUGGACUGGAGAUGAGCUCUCGGACACCAUAACACAGCAAAAUAUGAAAAGAUUCAUAUUGAAACUUGCUGCUAUUCUGUUAUCGUCUACAUUUAACUUCCGGCGAAGACGUUUAUUUCAUCCGAGCAAUGGUGAUGAACCUGGAAGUCCAAACGAUGUAGUGGAAAUAGAAAAUCCUAAAUAGCAGAGCACAACUUCAAGCAAGAGAAAGCAUAAUCGAGACGGUGACAUCAUAUUAACUCAGCAAAAUUCUACACAAAAUAAUUGUGACCAAUCUAAAGAUGAGUUUUUAGGCUCUAUUUCAGGACAUGAAUCUUCCCAAAAAAGAGUUGACAAGGAUAUUGUGCGAUUACAUCAUGUCAAUUGAUGAUGCCAUUAUCUUGGAGUAAGCUCUCACUUCCUAUCAUUCUCCGAGUACUGUUGCAAAGAGGCUUUGGGUGCGAAGCUUUCAUCCUUACAAUAUUACAUUAACUAUCAAAGAUCUGCAGGAGACAUUAAGGAUAGAUAAAGGCAUAUCCAAGCAACGUUUCAAUCUACGUGUUCAUUAUUAUGUAGUUCAUGAGUACCGAAAGUCAAAUUAUUAUAAUAGGGCGAUGUCAAAGCAUCUCAUGGAUCUACGAUUCUGUACGAUGUGUGAUCUAACACGAGAUCCAAAAUUUUGCAAAAACUAUAGUAGUAAAGACCUGGGUGCAUUGCAGAUACUUUCUCCUACCAUGGUGCACCGGGAAAGACUUCAUUCUAUAUGUCUUUGAUCAUAUGAAUAAAAGAUUAACAUGAUUUAUCGGUCAACUCUUUCCGGAGUGGUGUGAAGAUAUUCCAUACAGAAAAUAUGGACUUACCAUUACAUAUUUCUACAAAAUUAUAUAGCUGCAAUGAACGUAAAUAGUCUCGGUUGGAAUCAGGAUAUCUACACGUGGAAAUUCACCCGUGAAAAGGGUAUUGUUGAAGACAAAAACGGGUAUUCUACGGGCUACCUAGUUCUACAGUACAUGUCUACGUGGAAGAGUCCCGAAAGCACAAAAAUUUAUACGGAUGAUCGUACUAUGUGCCAGAACUUCAUCAUCGAAGUGUUGUCGUUAGACGCGAAGUGUUAUCGAAAACUGCUUCCUGCGAACGUAAAAGAUUAUCUUAGCCGCAACAUAGGAAGAGAUAUAAAUUAGAAUUUGUUAUACAUUUAUUUGCAUAUUUAGUGGAGCGUGGUGAUAAUGGUGUGCUUACGGGUUUAAUUUAUCUUAAUACUUUUUUAACGAUAAUGUUAUAUGCGAUGAAUACUAUUAUUUGUUGGUA